rnacentral:rRNA from 1 species
GGGAGGCAGCAGUAGGGAAUAUUGGACAAUGGGGGAAACCCUGAUCCAGCCAUGCCGCGUGUGUGAAGAAGGCCUUUUGGUUGUAAAGCACUUUAAGCAGUGAAGAAGACUCUUCGGUUAAUACCCGGAGACGAUGACAUUAGCUGCAGAAUAAGCACCGGCUAACUCUGUGCCAGCAGCCGCGGUAAUACAGAGGGUGCAAGCGUUAAUCGGAAUUACUGGGCGUAAAGCGAGCGUAGGUGGCUUGAUAAGUCAGAUGUGAAAUCCCCGGGCUUAACCUGGGAACUGCAUCUGAAACUGUUAGGCUAGAGUAGGUGAGAGGGAAGUAGAAUUUCAGGUGUAGCGGUGAAAUGCGUAGAGAUCUGAAGGAAUACCGAUGGCGAAGGCAGCUUCCUGGCAUCAUACUGACACUGAGGCUCGAAAGCAUGGGGAGCAAACAGGAUUA